GACGAACGCUGGCGGCGUGCUUAACACAUGCAAGUCGAGCGGGGUUGUUUCUCUUCGGAGGGGCGGCCUAGCGGCGAACGGGUGAGUAACACGUGGGCAACCUACCCUCAGCUCUGGGAUAACCCUGGGAAACUGGGGCUAAUACCGGAUAUGACUCUGGCGGGCAUCUGUCGGGGUGGAAAGGUUUGGUCCGGCUGGGGACGGGCCCGCGGUCUAUCAGCUUGUUGGUGGGGUAGUGGCUUACCAAGGCGACGACGGAUAGCCGGCCUGAGAGGGCGACCGGCCACACUGGGACUGAGACACGGCCCAGACUCCUACGGGAGGCAGCAGUGGGGAAUCUUGCGCAAUGGGCGAAAGCCUGACGCAGCGACGCCGCGUGGGGGAAGAAGGCCUUCGGGUUGUAGACCUCUUUCAGCGCUGACGAAGCCUUCGGGUGACGGUAGGCGCAGAAGAAGCACCGGCUAACUACGUGCCAGCAGCCGCGGUAAUACGUAGGGUGCGAGCGUUGUCCGGAAUUAUUGGGCGUAAAGGGCUCGUAGGCGGUUUGUUGCGUCUGCUGUGAAAGCCCGGGGCUUAACCCCGGGUCUGCAGUGGAUACGGGCAGGCUAGAGUCCGGCAGGGGAGACUGGAAUUCCUGGUGUAGCGGUGGAAUGCGCAGAUAUCAGGAGGAACACCGGUGGCGAAGGCGGGUCUCUGGGCCGGUACUGACGCUGAGGAGCGAAAGCGUGGGGAGCGAACAGGAUUAGAUACCCUGGUAGUCCACGCCGUAAACGUUGGGCGCUAGGUGUGGGUUCCCUUCCACGGGAUCCGUGCCGUAGCUAACGCAUUAAGCGCCCCGCCUGGGGAGUACGGCCGCAAGGCUAAAACUCAAAUGAAUUGACGGGG
rnacentral:rRNA from 1 species